UACGUAGGUGGCAAGCGUUGUCCGGAUUUACUGGGCGUAAAGAGCGCGCAGGCGGUCGUUCAAGUCGCGUGUGAAAGCCCCCGGCUCAACUGGGGAGGGUCACGCGAUACUGAUCGACUCGAAGGCAGGAGAGGGAAGUGGAAUUUCCGGUGUAGCGGUGAAAUGCGUAGAUAUCGGAAGGAACAUCAGAGGCGAAGGCGGCUACCUGGACAAUUGCGUGACACUCAGGCACGAAAGCGUGGGGAGCAAACAGGG
rnacentral:rRNA from 1 species